GACGAAUGCUGGCUGCGUGCUUAACACAUGCAAGUCGAACGGUGAAGGGGAGCUUGCUCCCCGGAUCAGUGGCGAACGGGUGAGUAACACGUGGGCAACCUGCCCCUCACUCUGGGAUAACUCCGGGAAACCGGGGCUAAUACCGGAUACGACCGGGAGCGACAUCGCUCCUGGUGGAAAGAACUUCGGUGAGGGAUGGGCCCGCGGCCUAUCAGCUAGUUGGUGGGGGAACGGCCCACCAAGGCGACGACGGGUAGCCGGCAUGAGAGGGCGACCGGCCACACUGGGACUGAGACACGGCCCAGAAUCCUACGGGAGGCAGCAGUGGGGAAUAUUGCGCAAUGGGCGAAAGCAUGACGCAGCGACGCAGCGUGAGGGACGAAGGCCUUCGGGUUGUAAACCUCUUUCAGCGGGGACGAAGCGAAAGUGACGGUACCCGCAGAAGAAGCACCGGCUAACUACGUGCCAGCCGCCGCCGUAA
rnacentral:rRNA from 1 species